AUUGAACGCUGGCGGCAUGCCUUACACAUGCAAGUCGAACGGUAACAGGUCUUCGGAUGCUGGCGAGUGGCGCACGGGUGAGUAAUACAUCGGAACGUGCCCAGACGUGGGGGAUAACGAGGCGAAAGCUUUGCUAAUACCGCAUACGAUCUAAGGAUGAAAGCAGGGGACCGCAAGGCCUUGCGCGUUUGGAGCGGCCGAUGGCAGAUUAGGUAGUUGGUGGGAUAAAAGCUUACCAAGCCGACGAUCUGUAGCUGGUCUGAGAGGACGACCAGCCACACUGGGACUGAGACACGGCCCACACUCCUACGGGAGGCAGCAGUGGGGAAUUUUGGACAAUGGGCGAAAGCCUGAUCCAGCAAUGCCGCGUGCAGGAUGAAGGCCUUCGGGUUGUAAACUGCUUUUGUACGGAACGAAAAGGCUCUGGCUAAUACCUGGGGCACAUGACGGUACCGUAAGAAUAAGCACCGGCUAACUACGUG
rnacentral:rRNA from 1 species